rnacentral:rRNA from 1 species
GAUGAACGCUGGCGGCGUGCUUAACACAUGCAAGUCGAACGAUGAAGCCCAGCUUGCUGGGUGGAUUAGUGGCGAACGGGUGAGUAACACGUGAGUAACCUGCCCUUAACUCUGGGAUAAGCCUGGGAAACUGGGUCUAAUACCGGAUAGGAGCGUCCACCGCAUGGUGGGUGUUGGAAAGAUUUAUCGGUUUUGGAUGGACUCGCGGCCUAUCAGCUUGUUGGUGAGGUAAUGGCUCACCAAGGCGACGACGGGUAGCCGGCCUGAGAGGGUGACCGGCCACACUGGGACUGGGACACGGCCCAGACUCCUACGGGAGGCAGCAGUGGGGAAUAUUGCACAAUGGGCGCAAGCCUGAUGCAGCGCCGCCGCGUGAGGGAUGACGGCCUUCGGGUUGUAAACCUCUUUCAGUAGGGAAGAAGCGAAAGUGACGGUACCUGCAGAAGAAGCACCGGCUAACUACGUG